GCCUGGGUGGGUCAGUUGGCUGAGCGUCUGACCUCGGCUCAGGUCAUGAUCUCAUGGUUUGUGGGUUCAAACCCCACAUCGGGCA
rnacentral:tRNA from 1 species